CUCACUCGAGUCUAUUUCCACUGGAAACAUAACCACAGUUAUGUUCUAUGAAAAUAGUUCUAGGCAUUUUUAACCUCCUGUGAAAGCCAAUGCAGAACCCUCAUGUUUAUGUAUUUUGUUAAUCAGAAUAAAAAACCUGCACGACCCAUUAUGGUCUUUAAAGGAACUUCUCAGAAUCAAAACGCUGGUGGAGAAAAGUGGAAAUAGAUACCAGGUUUUCAACAACAAGAUCAAAGACAAUGGCACUCAGGUCACAGAACUGAUGCAUAAGAUAGAGGAGUUGGUGUUAGAACAGAUGCUAAAUAACACAGAAAAUCAAGGGAAUAUUCAACCAUCUUGGUACAUGGCGAACUGAGGUUUGGUGGAAAGGUACAAAUUGGGAAAGUUCAAAUGACACCUAAAAACAUUCAUCGUGCUGACAUUCGAGGAGAGCAUCAAAGGAUUAAGAUGUCUGAACAUUUGCUCUUGCUCUUAAAGAUUUUGUGGGCCAUCCUUUCUGUAUUACCACAAAAAUACGCCUUACACAGCUCUAACUGCAAAAAAAAGAGCCUUUAUGGAUUUUUUCCAGUCAGAGAACCUGCAGAACCUAAUUGACCAAUGGGGUGACGUGACAUUGAGGAGCUGGAGGCAUUUAUAGAUUCUCAUUUCAAGAUGGUGUGGAAGGAGGCUAUGAACAACCCUAAAUACAGUAACUCUGAAGGUUCAGGCAUCACUGAGAACGAUCUGGGACAUCUGGCCUCAACUGACAGGAAACUGUCAUAGCUUGACAUCCUGGAGGGAGCACAAAGAGACUUGCGGGAGAUGAAACAGCAAUCAAGCAUUAUAGUAUAUUUCAGGAACUGAAGGACAGGAGUAAAAAGAGACACACGACCCCAGUUGACCCUCUGAAGCAACUGCAUCAGCAGAAAGUGAAGAAUUCGGUCGAUCAGAUGAAAAGUGAAUCUCAACUUCCAGUACUGAAAUGAAAAAAAUAGUAAACAUGUUUAUCAAAAUGGGUCAUGUCUAUAACUUCACUGUAUAAAGUAUAACAAGAUGAUGUGCAUUUUUCAAUCUGAAAGAAAAAGAAUGCAAAAUAAAAAUACAAGGAUUAGUAGAUUACAAA